GAGGAAUAUUGGUCAAUGGGCGAGAGCCUGAACCAGCCAAGUAGCGUGCAGGAAGACGGCCCUAUGGGUUGUAAACUGCUUUUAUGUGGGGAUAAAGUGAGCUACGUGUAGUUUAUUGCAGGUACCACAUGAAUAAGGACCGGCUAAUUCCGUGCCAGCAGCCGCGGUAAUACGGAAGGUCCAGGCGUUAUCCGGAUUUAUUGGGUUUAAAGGGAGCGUAGGCCGUGGAUUAAGCGUGUUGUGAAAUGUAGACGCUCAACGUCUGAAUUGCAGCGCGAACUGGUUCACUUGAGUAUGCGCAACGUAGGCGGAAUUCGUCGUGUAGCGGUGAAAUGCUUAGAUAUGACGAAGAACUCCGAUUGCGAAGGCAGCUUACGGGAGCACAACUGACGCUGAAGCUCGAAGGUGCGGGUAUCAAACAGGAUUAGAUACCCUGGUAGUCCGCACAGUAAACGAUGGAUGCCCGCUGUUGGUACCUGGUAUCAGCGGCUAAGCGAAAGCAUUAAGCAUCCCACCUGGGGAGUACGCCGGCAACGGUG
rnacentral:rRNA from 1 species